rnacentral:rRNA from 1 species
CGAGGCCGGCCAGCUACCAUGCAGUCGAGCGGAACGACACCUUCGGGUGGGCGUCGAGCGGCGGACGGGUGAGUAACGCAUAGGAAUCUGCCCGGUCGUGGGGGAUAACCUGGGGAAACUCAGGCUAAUACCGCAUACGUCCUACGGGAGAAAGGGGGCUCCGGCUCCCGCGAUCGGAUGAGCCUAUGUCGGAUUAGCCGGCUGGUGAGGUAACGGCUCACCAGGGCGACGAUCCGUAGCUGGUUUGAGAGGAUGAUCAGCCACACCGGGACUGAGACACGGCCCGGACUCCUACGGGAGGCAGCAGUGGGGAAUAUUGGACAAUGGGCGCAAGCCUGAUCCAGCCAUGCCGCGUGUGUGAAGAAGGCUUUCGGGUUGUAAAGCACUUUCAGUGAGGAAGAACGCUGUCGGGUUAAUACCCCGGCAGAGAGACAUCACUCACAGAAGAAGCACCGGCUAACUCCGUGCCAGCAGCCGCGGUAAUACGGAGGGUGCAAGCGUUAAUCGGAAUGACUGGGCGUAAAGCGCGCGUAGGCGGCACGAUCAGCCGGUUGUGAAAGCCCCGGGCUCAACCCGGGAACCGCAUCCGGAACUGUCGCGCUGGAGUGCAGGAGAGGAAGGUAGAAUUCCCGGUGUAGCGGUGAAAUGCGUAGAGAUCGGGAGGAAUACCAGUGGCGAAAGCGGCCUUCUGGACUGACACUGACGCUGAGGCGCGAAAGCAUGGGUAGCAAACAGGAUUAGAUACCCUGGUAGUCCAUGCCGUAAACGAUGUCGACCAGCCGUUG